AACGAACGCUGGCGGCGUGGAUUAGGCAUGCAAGUCGAACGAUCUGCUGUAAUGCAGAUAGUGGCAAAAGGGUGAGUAACGCGUGGGUAAUUUGCCUUUAGGUUCGGGAUAACUUGCCGAAAGGCGAGCUAAUACCGGAAAGACCACAUCCAGAUACUUCUGGAUGUGGUUAAAGCUAGGGACCCCAACAGGGCCUGGUGCCUUUAGAUAAGCCCGCGUCCUAUCAGCUAGUUGGUAGGGUAAUGGCCUACCAAGGCGAUGACGGGUAGCUGGUCUAAGAGGAUGGUCAGCCACACUGGGACUGAGACACUGCCCAGACUCCUACGGGAGGCUGCAGUCGAGAAUCUUUUGCAAUGCGCGAAAGCGUGACAAUGCGACGCCGCGUGAGCGAUGAAGAUCUUCGGAUUGUAAAGCUCUGUCAGCCCGGAUGAAAGCUUUUGACCUAAUAUGUCAAAAGUCUGACGGUACGGGCAGAGGAAGCCACGGCUAACUCCGUGCCAGCAGCCGCGGUAAUACGGAGGUGGCAAGCGUUGUUCGGAUUUAUUGGGUGUAAAGGGUAUGUAGGUGUCCUGUUAAGUUCUUCCUGAAAUACUUUGGCUCAACCAAAGACACGGGAGGGAAACUGACAGGAUUGAGUACAGGAGAGGAAAGCGGAAUUCCCGGUGUAAGGGUGAAAUCUGUAGAUAUCGGGAGGAACACCAGUGGCGAAAGCGGCUUUCUGGCCUGAUACUGACACUGAAAUACGAAAGCAAGGGGAGCAAACAGGAUUAGAUACCCUGGUAGUCCUUGCCGUAAACGAUGGGCACUAGGUGUAUUCCGUUUUACGGAGUGUGCCGCAGUUAACACAUUAAGUGCCCCACCUGGGGAGACGACCGCAAGGUU
rnacentral:rRNA from 1 species